UACAGAGGUGGCAAGCGUUGUUCGGAAUUACUGGGCGUAAAGGGCGCGUAGGCGGCCUACUAAGUCAGACGUGAAAUCCCCCGGCUUAACCUGGGAACUGCGUCUGAUACUGGAAGGCUUGAGGAUGGGAGAGGGAUGUAGAAUUCCAGGUGUAGCGGUGAAAUGCGCAGAUAUCAGGAGGAACACCAAUGGCGAAGGCAGCUCGCUGGGACGGUACUGACGCUGAGACGCGAAAGCGUGGGGAGCAAACAGG
rnacentral:rRNA from 1 species